GGCUGUUGGAGCGUGCGCCGGGGAAUGACACGAGGUGAGCUGGUUGCUGCUUUGAAAAAGAAGCACGUGGCCAUCCCUAUGAUAUUGGACUCAAGGUUCGAGAUUGAGAUGUCGCCAUCCCCUGCAGUGGGUGGCAAUACAAGAAAAAAGAAGACGGAGGACAAGACCGCCACUGUGUCGCUUGUGGAGCAUGCCUGACUGGUUGCAAAACUGCGGUCGGCAAAG